UAAUGGAGGGAAAAAAGACCCCAAAUACUAAAAAAGUGGCGCCAAUUACAACUGAAGGUUUUUUAUCGGCAUUCGGCAAGGUAACCAUCAGAUUAGCAUCUUCCUCAACGACAAGAACGGCAUCUCAGCCAAAUCUCCCCACAUUUAACCAGACCAAUUACAUGUGGAUGGAAGCACCAGUAGUUGCACAAGUACCAAGCAUCGUUAUGCUGUCUGCUCCCGCUGACGUCGCCACCACAUCCUCGACAAAUUCGCCAAAUUUCUCCAGGGUCAACAUUCAUGCUGGUGACGCAGGAACAAUAGACUUAGACCAGGAUUCUAUUAAAAUCAAUAUACGCGGGAUAUGGAUCUUAGCGGAGGUCUUCAAAAAAUGCUAUGAGUGCUAUAGCACCCGCUAUAUAGCAACGCUAAGCCAUUUAGGGGAUUGAAAAAACAGGAAAAAUCAUAGUCCAUAACAUAACUAAAUAUUAAUACUUUAGUACAGUUCUACACUCUGGUGCUGGCAUGCUGCUGACCUGCCGUGUGCAGGUGCAGCAGAGGAGAUGACGUGCUGGCAUGCUGCAGACCUACCGUGCUGGUGUGCAAGCGUGAGCAGAGGAGAUGGCAUGCAGCAGAGGAGAGUCCCAGGCACAAGCAGCCACGGCAAAGGGAAAAGGCCAAAGGGGAGAUGCACUCUCGGUCUCAUCUCUCAGGCGAUUUAGACGCCGGCGGCGACGACGAUUUUUGGACGGGAAUGACAGUGCUAGGGUUCCCAAGAAGAGCAGCAGCACAUAUAUAUGAUCGAUCUAUUAGGCCGCCGAACAAGUGCUGGAAGCCUGGAAAUCGGCCUGCUUUGGCCGCGCCUGACUAUUCUAUCAUAGCGAUGCUACGCGCUAUAUGCCGCUACGCCAUUUAGCGCCACUAUUUAACGCAAUAGCGACCCUAGCGGUCAUAUUAGCAUUAUGCACUGUAGCUUAGCGCCUAUGCCUCCAAAACGCUAUAGCCCCGCUAUAGUGGUGCUAUAGCCCGCUAUUUCGUACAUUGAGGGCCUGUUUGGCAACCAGCUGCUAAAGUUUAACACCCGUCACAUCGAAGGUUUGGAUGCUAAUUAGAAGUAUUAAAUAUAAGCUAAUUACAAAACUAAUUGCACAAAUGGAGUAUAAUUCGCGAGACGAAUCUAUUAAGCCUAAUUAGUCCAUGAUUUGACAAUGUGGUGCUACAGUAACCAUUUGCUAAUGAUGGAUUAAUUAGGCUUAAUAGAUUCGUCUCGCGAAUUAGCACAGGGUUCUGCAAUUAGUUUUAUAAUUAGCUCAUGUUUAGUUCUCCUAAUUAGUAUCCGAACAUCCGAUGUGACACUGUUAAAGUUUAACACCUCGUAUCCAAACACCCCCUGAGUAAAACUGAAUCUAUCCCAGUAGAAAAUUAUCUCGAAGGCCGCGUACCAAAGGUUGGUAUGAAAUUCCACAGUAAACAAGAGGCAUAUGGCUUUUACCAUGCCUAUGCUCGAGACAAGGGUUUCAGCAUUCGAAGGAGUAGUUCGCAUAACGUGAGAAAUAGUACCACAAUAAAGAAUAGAACUUUGUGCUAUUCUCAUGCAGGUAUGAAUUAAACUAUCUUAUAUUACUUUCUUCAUGGUUAGGGAUACAACAUCAUUUUGAUGAAACUAUUUAUUUAUUUAUAUCAAUAGGAAUUUGAGGGUCUGAUAAGAGAGAAGAAGCUUCGAAUUAUAGCAGGCUAGAGACACGAUGUAUGUCCCUAGCACACAUGAAGAUCAGUUUGAAAGAUAGGUUCUGCUACAUAUAUGAAUUUGUGUCUGAGCAUAACCAUAUUCUUGCUACUGCUAGCCAAGUCCAACAUUUAAGAUCUCAAAGGACAAUAACAGAAGCACAGCUUGCAAGCGUCGAAGCUGCUAAAUCGGUUGGCAUUUCAAAUAAAGCUAAUUUCGAUCUCAUGGCAAAAGAAGCGGGUGGAAUUGAGAAUCUUGAAUUUACACGUGAAGAUAUGAAAAGUAAAUUGUAUUCAAAGAGGUCAUUGAAGGUACACGAAGGAGACACUAGAGGAGUCUUAGAAUAUCUAGAGAAGAAAACAUCAGAAGAAGAGAAAUUUAUCUAUUCCAUUCAGGUUGACGAGGAUGACUUGAUAACGAAUAUUUUCUGGACCGAUUCUAAAAUGGUUGUAGACUAUGAACUUUUUGGUGAUGUUGUAUGCUUUGACACAACAUAUAGAAAACUAAAUGAUGGGCGUCCAUUUGGUUUGCUAUGUGGCGUGAACAACCAUAAGAAAACUAUUAUUUUUGGUGCUGCACUUUUGUAUGAUGAAACUGCUGAAAGUUUUGUUUGGCUUUUCAAAACCUUUUUAGCUGCUAUGUCAUGCAAGAAGCCACAGACCAUUUUGACUGACGAAGAUGCAGCAAUGGCAAAAGCAAUCAAGAUUGUACUACCAGAGAGUCAUCACAGGAUAUGUAUUUGGCAUAUGAACCAGAAUGCAUGCAAGCACCUCUCUGGAGUUGUGGAGGAAUAUAAGAAGUUCAAUGCAAACUUUUAGAGCUGUAUUUAUGAUCAAGAGGAGGAGGAGGAUUUUAUAAAUGCAUGGAACAGUUUGCUAGACAAGUAUAAGCUACGAGAAAAUAAUUGGCUUGAAAGGUUAUUUCAAAAAAGGGAGAAAUGGGCCUUAGCAUAUGGACAGAAUACAUUUUCUGUUGAUAUUGUUAGCACUCAAAGAAGUGAAAGUAUGAAUAACGAGUUGAAAGGAUAUAUUAGUGUCAAAUACAAUAUACUUACCUUCUUUGAGCAUUUUGACAGGUUAGUGGCAGAUAAAAGAUACGAGGAGGUGAAAUGUGAUUUUAAGGCAACACAAAGUACACCAAAGUUGAAAUCAGAUCUGAGAAUACUAAGCCAUGCAGCAAAAAUUUACACUCUAGCACUGUUUAAGGUAUUCCAAGAACAGGUAAUGCAAACACUGAACUGUGAUCUAUUCUAUUGUGGUGAUAUAGAUGAUGAAAAGGUGUACAAAAUAAAGGUUUAUGGUAGGAAAACUGAGCAUGGGUUGAAGUUUUCUACAUCAGGAAGUCAAGUGAAGUGUAACUGCAAAAAGUUCAAUUUUGUUGGAAUCUUAUGCUGUCAUGGGAGUUGAAGAUACUUGAUAUUAACAUAUCAAAAAAAUUCCUGAGCAGUAUAUAUACUAAAUAGAUGGAUGAUUGAUGCGAAAGUACUUCAGAUAAAGAGCAAUUAUCAAACACCUGAAGAUCCAAAAUAAAGCUCUCAUGACGUAGAAAAGAGUUAUGCAGAAUGUAUCUUAAAUUAUCUGCCCGAGCUGCAGAAUCUGAUGAAACAUACUUUAUGGCUGUGAGCAAUGCAGAGAAAUUAGCAGAAGAUGUGGAAAAAGCUAAGCUUGGGAAAGAGACUUGGGGGGCGUUUGGUUCCAGCUGCUUAUUUUAAGCACCUAUCACAUCAAAUGUUUAGAUACUAAUUAGAAGUAUUAAACGUAGACUAUUUACAAAACCCAUUACACAAAUGGAGGCUAAAUGACGAGAUGAAUCUAUUAAGCCUAAUUAGUCCAUGAUUUGACAAUGUGCUGCUACAGUAAACAUUUGCUAAUGAUGGAUUAAUUAGGAUUAAUAGAUUCAUCUCACCGUUUAGCCUCCAUCUGUGCAAUUAGUUUUAUAAUUAACUCAUAUUUAGUCCUCCUAAUUAACCUCCGAAUAUUCAAUGUGACACGGAUUAAAUUUUAGCUCGAGGAACCAAACGCCCCCUUGAUCAGGAUUUGGGUAGUUCAUCUCAUCCACAAGGUUUGCUCUGUGAUAUGACCUGAAUAAUACUUGUGUUAACACCACAUACGCGACACGAUUUAACUGUUAUGUUUUUUUUCCUAAUUGAUUUUUUUCCAGAAACACAACAACAAGACCAGUCCAGAAACCAAUAGGCAUUAAGGUUAAAGAGAAGGAAAUUCGUGGAUCUGAGAGACCAAUUCGUGGAUCUGAUCUUAUGCAAAUUCUACAUAAAACAGCUAACUCAAUUUGGUUUUUUGACAUAGUAAUCCAUUAAAUUUGAAGUAUCAAACUAAAAUUGUAAAGUGCAUAUUCCUCACGAAGAAGAAGGGGACCAGCACAAGACAACUAACCAGAUUAAACUUGUUGGGGGAAGAAAAUGCUUUGCAGCCACACUCUGAUGUGAGAGUAGGUCCUUGAUGCCUCUCAGCUCGAUGUCCCAUGAUGGUGACUUCGAUUCGACGCAGCCGAUGAAGAAACUCCAAAAUCGAAGUCCUCAUUGCCUAAAUCAAGAUCCUACAGCAGGAAUUGAGGUCUGAGCCACCCAAAUCGAAAUACUCAUCACCCAAAUCGAGACCCUACAACAUGAAUCGAGGUUUUAGCCACCCAAACCGAGGAUCAAAUAGCUAGAAUUGAGGAUACCCACAAGAAUCAGCUCGCCGUCACCAAGCUCGAGCUUGCUGCUAUUCAAGAACGGCAGCAGCGACAGCAACCUAUUCUGCACCUUCGACCUUGCCAGCGCCGCCGGCAGCAGUCACAGCCGGUGCCGCGCAACGCGUGGGAAGGACCUUCGGCCGCCCAGGGGGCUGCUCCAUGUCGCGUGCGCUAGAGAGCUGGAACAGAGAAGGGGGAAAGAUAAGACAGAGUAAGGAUGGCAACGGGAUGGGUUCGGAUUGGGUGGAGUGUCCGGGCACCCCAAAACCGAAACCCAAAC
rnacentral:lncRNA from 1 species